UUUAUGCCUAGAACCUCAUUAAUGAAACCACUGCGCAGGCCGCAUGGUAGACUGCUCCCCAGAAGCAACACUGUCGCUGGUUUCUGAGGCGUCUGUAUUUGUCUCCUGUUGCUGCUGUAACAAAUAGCCACAAAUCUAGUAGCUUAAAAUGAACACAAGUUGGUUACCCUUGACUUCUGUGGAUCCCAAGUCCCACACAGGCUCACCCACGAAAAUCAAGGUGCCACCAGGGCCACGCUCCUUCGUGGACGUCAGGGGAGAAUCUGUUUGCUUCCCUUCUGCAGUUUCCAGAGUCCUGAGUUCCUCUGCUCUGAUCUUCAAAGCCAGCCAUCAUUCCUCUGGCCUCCCCCUUCCAGCCCAACGGUUUUCCAGGCUCCAGGGACUGGGAUGUAGAUAUCUUCAGGGGACAUUGUCUUGCCUACCAACGUAUCCCUAAGAAACGAUGCAGCCAGGUGUGGUGGCAUGUGCCUGUCACCCAGUGACUCUGGAGACUUACAAGUUCAAGGAGGACUCUGGAGGAUUGCCAAGUUCAAGGCCAGCCUCAGUGAACCAGAGACCUGGUCUCCAAAUAAAGAGAGGGCUGGGGAUAUAACUCAGUGUCCGGCGCCCCUCGUCAGUCCCCGGUACCACAGGAAACAAAAGAAAGAACCCAUCUAUGCCUACAGAAGAAAAUAAGUAUUUUAAUUUAAAACAUCAUAAAGAGCAGCAUUGUGUAGUGGCCUACACCUAAUUUCAACCGACGGAAUGAGCAGCCCAUUAAUUGCCUUGGAUUAUGACCAUCAUUUAUUUUUAAGGAAAUAGAAUGCACGGCACAUGAUAAGAACUGA